CCUAUGGGAGGCAGCAGUGGGGAAUAUUGGGCAAUGGGCGCAAGCCUGACCCAGCAACGCCGCGUGAAGGAAGAAGGCUUUCGGGUUGUAAACUUCUUUUGUCAGGGAAGAGUAGAAGACGGUACCUGACGAAUAAGCCACGGCUAACUACGUGCCAGCAGCCGCGGUAAUACGUAGGUGGCAAGCGUUGUCCGGAUUUACUGGGUGUAAAGGGCGUGUAGCCGGGUUGACAAGUCAGAUGUGAAAUCCUGCGGCUUAACCGCAGAACUGCAUUUGAAACUGUUGAUCUUGAGUACUGGAGAGGCAGACGGAAUUCCUAGUGUAGCGGUGAAAUGCGUAGAUAUUAGGAGGAACACCAGUGGCGAAGGCGGUCUGUUGGACAGCAACUGACGGUGAGGCGCGAAAGCGUGGGGAGCAAACAGGAUUAGAUACCCGUGUAGUC
rnacentral:rRNA from 1 species